GAGUGAUACUGUGGGUUUUCUUGAGUCUACGUUUGAUAAAAGCUCUUAUUUAGGACUUUCUCGGUGAGCACUGAGAAAACUCGUUUAAUCUUUUGUAGGGGGGUGUAAAACAAACUAUCGUGCCCCUGCCUCAUUAAUGUCAUAAAGCUUAUCCAUCAACCAGCCAACACCAAGCCUUUUGAGUUCCCUUUAUCAGAUAAUGUCAAGAACACCUGGGUUAGCGUUCUUCCCACCUCAGUCUAGUGCUUAUUCAGCCCUGAGCUGUGUUGAAAUUGCACACAUACUAGGUAGAAUGUUAUGAAACAGUUUUCAGUGCAGACAGCUGAGACCCAGUCACUUUCUCUGUUGAGUGUUUGAGCGAUUACACCGUACUUCUGCUAGCUUGCUUAAAACGUAUAAGGGGCCCCACAGGGAACAAUGGCCAUGACUUUUGUUCGUGCUCUGUAUAUAGCGAGAAAAAUGUGGGAACUACAAACAGUAGCUUAAUGAUGACUCAAGAAGUUCAGGAAAGACAGUAUAGGGCCAUAUAUCUGCCUGGUGCACCUGUCAUCUCUACAAGGCCCUGGACUAGUUUGCUGUAGCCUCUGGAAGGAGAAGAGUUGGCUACCGACUCCUUGCCAUUGACGUUUCAUCUCAUUUGUCGGAAUAGCGUGAAGACCUAGAUUUUAAACCUGUUCUGGACUCUCACCCUGACCCACAGAACCUGCAUCAUCUGCUUGGGUAACACCGAACCAGAUUUCACCUGAUCCUUCUGAACUGAGGGAGGGGAAUAUCACAAAAGCACCAGAAGAACACUAGCCUCCCAGAGGCCUGAUGGGAUUUCCUGUACCAGAACGACUUGGACAGAGAAAGAGCCUCAUUGUUCAGAGUCAGCAGGUAAGGAGGGAGGGAGAGUGGAGAACCAUGCUCGGGGAGGCUAAGGUC